AGUUAAUGAGUCUGAAUAUAGACAUAUAUUUUGAAAAUAUAAAAUAGAAAUAACAACUUCUAUUAACUU
rnacentral:tRNA from 1 species